rnacentral:rRNA from 1 species
CGAACAUAAUGAAGUAUAGUAAAGGUAAGGUACAUCAGCCAUCAAUCAGUAAUUGGUCUGAGUGGAAGAUCAGACCCACAGGGACGAGACACGGCCCAAGUAUUACGCUAGGCAGCAAUUGGGAAUUUUGGACAAUGGGUAAAAACCUUUCCAGCCAUGCACGUGCGAAAUGAAAGAUUCGAAUUGUAAACAACUUUUUAGGGUACGAAACGGCCUUUUCUAAUAAACAAGGCUAAUGAUGGUACCGUAAGAAUAAUCACCGUCUAACUAAGUGCCAGCAGCCGCGGUAAUAAGUAGGGUGCAAGCGUUAAUCGGAAUUACUGGGCGUAAAGCGUGCGCAGGGGGUGAUGUAAGACAGUUAAGAAAUCCCCGGUCUCAUCCUGGGAACUGCAUGUGUGACUGCAUAGCUAGAGUACGGUAGAGGGGGAGGGAAAAGCGUGUGUAGCAGUGAAAUGCGAAGAUAUGCGGAGGAACACCGAUGGGGAGGGCAAUCCCCUGGACUUGUAUUGACGUUCAUGCACGAAAGCGUGGGAGCAAACAGG